GGAAUGUCUCUAAAAUUAUGAAUUUUGUGCUUUUGGACGAGUAUGGUUAAACUUUUGCUCGAAACUCGAAAGGAAACUCUCAGUCACUACCAAUAUUGGUUCGUAAAUUGGUUCCGUAGCUCUUCUUGUUCUUUGUUAGGAAGUGUAAAGUGUUAGACUUUUAAAUGGAGAUAAAAUAUUUAAUCCCAACUCCGAAACUAUGAUACCGUCAACGUCUCCAAACGUCUACUUCGGAUUUGACGAUCACGGCAAAAGUAUUAUAGUUUAGAAACCCUAAAAAAGUGGUUUUCGGAAGUGAAAUUAGCUCAAAUGAAGAUGCUUGAUUUUGAACUGUUGAAAAAUGAGAUCAAUUAUAUUCAAGAAGAAUUUUGUGUAUUCAAGAAUAUUACGAAAUCAUAUUUUCAAAGAUGUAAAUAUAGAUAAAUUAUUAGAAUAUAAUUGAGGUGUAUGUGUUGUCCGUGAUGAUUGUUGGUAGCUGCUGGCUGUAGAUGUCGGUACUGGGGUACUGCUGUAUUUUUCUUCUUAUUUAAGAAUUGUGGAAAAAAAAUAUAUGACUACGGGCGCCGGGAUUCGAACCCGGGUCUCAAACGUUCGUAACCUAAUGAGCUAACCACUGCGCUACCGUUGUCCGGUAGAAGUUAGUGUCGAGUGGCGGUAUUUGUUGUCGAGUGCCGCCACAUAAUGUUUUUAUAUUCAAGGAUUUGGUAGCUGUUAAAUCUCUCAUUGUAUCGAUAAACGAUCUGCAAUGCAUUAUUCAAAGCGGGAGGAAGUCACAAUGGUUUUAUCGUGAUCUGUAUACGCAAGUGUCGAUGGAAACAAGCGUGCGAGACGUAAAUCUGUUACUCGUAAUAGAAGUCGGAGGAACAUCAUCGCCAAUUAAUCAAAUUACGAGGUUUGUGAGAAUCACGUAUCGGUAUAAAUUCAACAUUAAUUUGGAAUUAGCGUGUCAAACAUAUUCCGGAUGCCUGAUUCAUAAAAAUGUUAUCCUUUUCAUCUAUUUUUUCAUCAAGGCCUCCACAGAAAUCACAUUUCAAAUCGCAUAUUGUAGUAUAGUGGACGAAAGGCCUAAGAAAUAUCGGGCGAACUAUAAACAAUAGUCUGUCCAUCAAUCGAAUAGUUUCGCGGAAAAGGCUUGCGUGACCCUGACCACGAGCGGUUGCGGAACACGUGCGUGAUGGGGCUAAGACGAAAGACAAAGGGAUGCUAAGGGACAAAGACGAAUUAACAGUCAGUGUUGAUUGAGAAGCCAGAGAGCGUGAAUCGAGCGUUGUCGAGAGAAUGUAGUCCGCGUGACAGAGAGCGAUGGAACUGUAGUGACGAGAGUUGCAAAUCAACUAUUUAGUUGUUUUAAUUAUAAUACGUUAUUGUGAUUAGUUCACGUUAAACAACCAUCGUUUCCUGUUUAACCAACAUCUGUUUAAUCCAUUUACUUUAAAUAAACUAAUUGUAGUAAA